CUCAAAUGGUAGAGUGCUAGCCUUGAGCACAGAGAGGCUCAGGGACAGAGCCCAGGCCUUGAGUUCAAGCCCAAGGACCAGCAGACAGACAGACUAGAGAUUCCAUCUUAACAGAAGAAGUUGAGCAUGGUAGCAUGCACCUGUUGCACAAAGAAAGAAGGGAAGGAGAGGAAAGAAAGAAAGAAGAAAGGAGAGGGGAGGGGAGGGGAUGGAGGGGAGGAGAAGGGAAAGGCAGCCUAGAGAUUCCAUCUUAAUAGAAGAAGCUGAGCAUGGUAGUAUGUACUUGUCAUCCUAACAAUGGUAGGAAGCAUAAAAUAAGAUCAUGAUCCAUUUGAGGCCCUGGCAGGAAUCAAGAUCUUAUCUCAAAACAACUGCCAAAAAAAAAAAAAAAAAGGACUGGCUGUGUGGUUCAGGGCUAGAGCAUCUGCCUGGCAAGGGUGACACACUGAGUUCUAACCCCAGUAUAAUCAUAGACAAACAAACUUCCAUUACUAAGAUAAAGAGAAUUAUUUCAGGCAGGCUUACGAUUGCUAGGCACACACUGACAAUACAGAAAGUACCAAAGAAAACAUUUGGCUUCUGAGAAAUGAAGCUGUGUUCUCAUAGUGAGAGCCACCAUAGCCAAAGGGACCAAUAGGGGGGCUCUCUUCCUCUGAAGGUCAAACUCCAGUUGAAGGUCCAAUUUCAGUUAAGGGUUUCAGAAAUUAGGAAAAAUAAUAAAAGCAACUUCUAAUUAUAAAACCUCUACUUUUGAUCAGGCACUGUUCUCAGCACUUAUAAACACACUGUUAUUCAAUGCCAAGUUCAUGAAGAAAGGCUUGCUCCUGGCUCUUUAUGGGUACAAGUACGACAGCUCAGAGAUGCACACCUGGUUGCAACACAAAUAUAAGGGGAAACAGAAUUUGAUAAGAGUAAUUUCUAACUCCACAGCCCAUAAUUUUUCUACUACACAAUACUGACUUUUUUUUGCUGGCACUCAACCACUUGGAGCCAUGCCUAUAGACCCACAAUGCUAAUUUAUAUGUAGUUUUGCCUAGACUCAGAGAGCAUUAAAAUAACUCUUUUGUCAAUACAAUAAACAAAAUUUUUCAUCAAUAUGUAACACUCAUUUCCUCAAGAUUAACCUCCAAGUUCAGGUUCCUGAAGAAAAGCAGAGAAAGCAAACUUUACACAGCAUACAGUCACUUCCAUUUGGAGUCCUCCACCAGUCAUACUUGUCUCAAUGAAUAUGUUGAUAAGAACAAGCCAAUAAAUAUAGGUACACAUUAAUAUUCAUAUCAUUUCACAGUCAGUGCCUUGACACCAUGCAACUCAUACUAAUAUAGAGUACAUACUACAUAUAAGGUCACAGUAUAAGUACUGUUCAAAAAUACUUAAAAGGCCUAACAUGAAACUGGAGAAGGGAAAG